AGGACGAACGCUGGCGGCGUGCUUAACACAUGCAAGUCGAGCGGUAAGGCCUUUCGGGGUACACGAGCGGCGAACGGGUGAGUAACACGUGGGUGAUCUGCCCUGCACUCUGGGAUAAGCUUGGGAAACUGGGUCUAAUACCGGAUAUGACUGCAUGCCGCAUGGUGUGUGGUGGAAAGAUUUAUCGGUGCAGGAUGGGCCCGCGGCCUAUCAGCUUGUUGGUGGGGUAAUGGCCUACCAAGGCGACGACGGGUAGCCGACCUGAGAGGGUGACCGGCCACGACUGGGACUGAGACACGGCCCAGACUCCUACGGGAGGCAGCAGUGGGAAUAUGCACAAUGGGCGAAGCCUGAUGCAGCGACGCCGCGUGAGGGAUGAAGGCCUUCGGUUGUAAACCUCUUUCAGCGAGGACGAAGCGUGAGUGACGGUACCUGACAGAAGAAGCGACCGGACUAACUACGUGCCCAGCCAAGCCCGGUA
rnacentral:rRNA from 1 species